GGAGUUGUAGCUCAGUGGUAGAGUGCUUGCCUCAAAAGCAUGAGGCACUGGGUUCAAUCCUCAGUAACUCAU
rfam:Ictidomys tridecemlineatus contig001031, whole genome shotgun sequence.